UACGUAGGGCGCAAGCGUUGUCCGGAAUUAUUGGGCGUAAAGAGCUCGUAGGUGGUUUGUUACGUCUGCUGUGAAAACCUAGGGCUUAACCCUGGGCCUGCAGUGGAUACGGGCAGACUAGAGGUAGGUAGGGGAGAAUGGAAUUCCCGGUGUAGCGGUGAAAUGCGCAGAUAUCGGGAGGAACACCGGUGGCGAAGGCGGCACUCUGGGACGGUACUGACGCUGAGACGCGAAAGCGUGGGGAGCGAACGAGG
rnacentral:rRNA from 1 species